rnacentral:rRNA from 1 species
GACGAACCGUGCGAACGUUAUUCGGAAUCACUGGGCUUAAAGCGCGUGUAGGCGGGACGGCACGUCGGUCGCUGAAAGCCCCCGGCUCAACCGGGGGAACGGGCGCCGAUACGACCGCCCUGGAGGAACGUAGGGGGACCUGGAACUUCCGGUGGAGCGGUGAAAUGCGUAGAGAUCGGAAAGAACACCAACGGCGAAAGCACUCUGCUGGGCCGACACUGACACUGAGAGACGAAAGCUAGGGGAGCGAAUGGG